rnacentral:lncRNA from 1 species
GGGUGUAAUCAAUUACCAAAACUUGCUAUUUAGCCACGUAAUCGAUUAUUGCCAUGUAAUAAUCGGUUACAGGUGUCACUUAUGCUUUUGGUAUCUAUUUUCUUAGUCAGGUAACCUAUUACAUUGUUCCAAUAAUCUGUUACCAACUGUCACACAGUGUAGGUAAGUUGUUACGUAGAUCUAGUAAUCUGGUACUCAGGUCAAGUAACAUAUU